rnacentral:rRNA from 1 species
GAUGAACGCUGGCGGCGUGCCUAAUACAUGCAAGUCGAGCGAACGGACGAGAAGCUUGCUUUUCUGAUGUUAGCGGCGGACGGGUGAGUAACACGUGGAUAACCUACCUAUAAGACUGGGAUAACUUCGGGAAACCGGAGCUAAUACCGGAUAAUAUUUUGAACCGCAUGGUUCAAAAGUGAAAGACGGUCUUGCUGUCACUUAUAGAUGGAUCCGCGCUGCAUUAGCUAGUUGGUAAGGUAACGGCUUACCAAGGCAACGAUGCAUAGCCGACCUGAGAGGGUGAACGGCCACACUGGAACUGAGACACGGUCCAGACUCCUACGGGAGGCAGAAGUAGGGAAUCUUCCGCAAUGGGCGAAAGCCUGACGGAGCAACGCCGAGUGAGUGAUGAAGGUCUUCGGAUCGUAAAACUCUGUUAUUAGGGAAGAACAUAUGUGUAAGUAACUGUGCACAUCUUGACGGUACCUAAUCAGAAAGCCACGGCUAACUACGUG